CUGUUAAUUCAACAUUUAUUAAUCACACACACACACACAUGCUGACAAGACACUGAUAGACAUACACAAUUAUUAAAAACUGGAAAAUGAGUAAUGUGCACAUUUAAAAAGCAAAAUGUUUACACACUUCCUGUUACACUUAUUCCCAAGUUUUAUCUCACAAAAUACAGCAUGAAAAAAAUCACAGCAUAAAUAUUAUUCAAGUAAACUGCUAUCUGAAAUAGCCACACAUGAAUAAUGAAAACCCUGGGCUCCAGCCUUCAGAGAAGGCAGUCAUGUGGCACAAAUUAAAGUUAACAAUAUCAGUUAAGAAUAAAAUAGAUUUAUUUGCACUGUGCUUCUGAUCUUCAUUUUCACUGAGUCUUUCCAUGAGAAUAAAAGUAGAAGAAACAGCAUUUGACAUAAAAUCGUAUUUAAAAGCCACUCAAAGGGAUAAAGAGAACAGAAGAGCUCUUUUAAUGAGAAUCCCUGCCUAGCUGGGGAAAUAAAUUAGGAAGCGUUUUUUUAAGGCCAAUAGACUCGUUACCUAGGUAAUUUCAUUUGAGUUAUGUGAUAAUUGCUGGGAAGUCCUCAAUGAGAAUUUAUUGGAACAAUGCCCAGAAAAGUACUUUUUACACAGCCAGUGUUCAAUAAAAACAAAUAAUGCCUGAUAAACGCAGAAAGGUCAAUCUCUCUCUCUUGGUAUGGAUCAGGGGUUGGCAAACGUUUUCUGUCAAGAGCCAAAGAGUAAAUAUUUUAGGCUUUGCAGGCCAUCCUGUCUUGGUUGCAAGUACUCAAUUCUGCCAACUAAGAAGCCAUAGAUCAUACAGUAAAUGAACGAGUGUGGCUGUGUUCCAAUAAAAUUUUGUUUAUGGACACUGAAAUCUGAAUUCCAUAUAGUUUCAUGUGUCAUGAAAUAUUAUUAUUCUUUUGACUUUCUUCCAGCCACUUGGAAAUAUAAAAACCAUUCUUAGCUCCGCUUUGUACAAAAACAGGUGGCAGGCCCGAUUUGGCCAGUGGGCUGUAGUUUGUCAACCCCCAGUCUAAUGGUCCUUUUCAUGCUGUAAAAUAUAUUUUAAAAAAAAUUCCAUCCAUCACAUGUGGUUACUUUAUUGAAAAAAUAACCAACAAAAGUUCAUUUAACAACACUUUUCUUUCUUCUCCCAACCCAGAAAAUUUUACCAAACAGUAAAGCUAUUUCCUUUUCAAAUUAUUUUAAUUACAAAAUUAAUCAAAGAUAUGGCAAUGAGCCUCUGGCCUUUAAUUUAUAUACCUGUGAGCCAAAUAUACAAAGAACCUGACAGCCUGCCACCCAGCCAAGGAAUCCACUGGUUUACAAAGUUACAAACUUAUGUGCAUGUUAUUCCCCCAGACACCUCCAACCAUCAGUAUUCCAGACUUCUAAAAAAUGUUACAGCAUUUUUAUUGUUAAUAGAAAACAGAUGGACACACCCAAAUAUUAAGUAAUUAGGAUGAUAUAUAAAACCACCUAAGACCUAAAGGUAAAACCUAGAAAUCAGCUGUGAAUAUGCUAUGUAUGCAGUUCUUGGCAGGGCCUGGGCAAUGCAUGACACUAGGAGGUGGACUUGGGCCUCGGGAUCCGAGUGGCAUAAUCCAGGCCAAAUGCAAGGCAGCCCCAAGACUGGCUGUCGUCCCUGUGCACAGGGACACUGCUGAUCUUGAGUUACACAACCACAGCUCCCCCGUGGCUCAGGGAGGAAUGCUAAG
ensembl:lncRNA